UACGUAGGGUGCAAGCGUUAAUCGGAAUUACUGGGCGUAAAGCGUGCGCAGGCGGUUAUGUAAGACAGAUGUGAAAUCCCCGGGCUCAACCUGGGAACUGCAUUUGUGACUGCAUAGCUAGAGUACGGUAGAGGGGGAUGGAAUUCCGCGUGUAGCAGUGAAAUGCGUAGAUAUGCGGAGGAACACCGAUGGCGAAGGCAGCCCCCUGGGCCAAUACUGACGCUCAUGCACGAAAGCGUGGGGAGCAAACAGG
rnacentral:rRNA from 1 species